AUUGAACGCUGGCGGCAGGCCUAACACAUGCAAGUCGAACGAGGGGCGGAAGGGUGACGAAUGUCUGGGACACUGCUUGAGGGAGGGGGAUAACUACUGGAAACGGUAGCUACUCCCGCAUAGCUUAAGCUGUGCCCAGAUGGGAGUAGGUUGGUGGUGGGGUAACGGCUCACAAAGGCGACGAUCCCUAGCUGGUCUGAGAGGAUGACCAGCCACACUGGAACUGAGACACGGUCCAGACUCCUACGGGAGGCAGCAGUGGGGAAUAUUGCACAAUGGGCGAAAGCCUGAUGCAGCCAUGCCGCGUGUAUGAAGAAGGCCUUCGGAUUGUAAAGUACUUUCAGCGGGGAGGCGUUACCCACAGAAAAAGCACCGGCUAACUCCGUGCCAGCAGCCGCGGUAAUAC
rnacentral:rRNA from 1 species